CCGAGUUUACAACUCCCAAACCCAAAUGUGAACAUACCAAUCGUUGCUUCGGCGGACUCGUCCCGGCGUCCGGGUGGCCUUGCGCCGCCCGCGGCCAGCUCGCUGAUAGUCGCGGCCAUCAAACUCUUUGUAUUACAGUCAAGUAUCUUCUGAAUCCGCCGCAMGGCAAAACAAAUGAAUCAAAACUUUCAACAACGGAUCUCUUGGUUCUGGCAUCGAUAGGCCUGUAGAUGAAAUGCGAUAAGUAAUGUGAAUUGCAGAAUUCAGUGAAUCAUCGAAUCUUUGAACGCACAUUGCGCCCGCCAGCAUUCUGGCAUGCUCGCUCGUAGAUGCUGCUCGUAGAUGCUCGGGCUCCCUUGGGGAGCCCGGCGUUGGGGACCGGCCUCUACCGCCGACCCCGAAAUACAGUGGCGGMCCCGUCACGGCGACCUCUGCGUAGUAACUCAACCUCGCACCGGAAACCCGACGUGGCCACGCCGUAAAACACCCCAAUUCUGAACGUUGACCUCGGAUCAGGUAGGAAUACCCGUAGGCUCGCUGUAAGAUCGCUCGUGAUAG
rnacentral:rRNA from 1 species